rnacentral:rRNA from 1 species
AUCCUACGGGGGGCAGCAGUAGGGAAUCUUCCACAAUGGACGAAAGUCUGAUGGAGCAACGCCGCAUGAGUGAAGAAGGGUUUCGGCUCGUAAAGCUCUGUUGGUAGCGAAGAAAGAUAGAGGUAGUAACUGGCCUUUAUUUGACGAUAAUUACUUAGAAAGUCACGGCUAACUACGUGCCAGCAGCCGCGGUAAUACGUAGGGGGCAAGCGUUAUCCGGAAUUACUGGGUGUAAAGGGAGAGUAGGCGGCAAGGUAAGCGAUAUGUGAAAGCCUUAAGCUUAACUUAAGGAUGGCAUAACGAAA